CCCACUGACCGACCGACCAACCCACAGACAGACAGACCGACAGACAGACAGACAGACAGACAGACAGACCGACCGAGCGCCGGGCCGCGUCAUGGAGGCCAUCUGGCUCUACCAGUUCCGGCUCAUCGUCAUCGGCGACUCGACGGUGGGGAAGUCGUGUCUGAUCCGCCGCUUCACAGAGGGCCGCUUCGCGCAGGUGUCGGACCCCACGGUGGGCGUGGACUUCUUCUCCCGCCUGGUGGAGAUCGAGCCCGGCAAGAGGAUCAAGCUGCAGAUCUGGGACACGGCGGGUCAGGAGCGCUUCAGGUCCAUUACCAGGGCCUACUACCGUAACUCAGUGGGCGGGCUCCUCCUCUUCGACAUCACCAACCGCCGCUCCUUCCAGAACGUCCACGAUUGGCUGGAGGAGGCCCGCAGCCACGUCCAACCCCACAGCAUCGUCUUCCUAUUGGUCGGCCACAAGUGUGACCUGGAGGCCCAGCGCCAGGUGACCCGUCAGGAGGCGGAGAAGCUGGCCGGAGCGUACGGGAUGCGCUACAUCGAGACGUCGGCGCGCGACGCCAUCAACGUGGAGCACGCCUUCACUGAGCUGACCCGGGACAUCUUCGCCCUGGUGCGGUCCGGCGACAUCACCAUCCAGGAGGGCUGGGAGGGCGUGAAGAGCGGGUUCGUGCCCAACGUGGUCCACUCCUCCGAGGAGGUGACCAAGAGCGACCGCCGCUGCCUCUGUUGAUCUGGACAGAGUCCAGCAAUGGGAGGAAGGAUUCAGAGGAAACUGUUGGUGACCCCUCUGUUGUUCUGUCUUCAGACCCAAGACUAAAGGAUUGUUUGAAGAAUGAGGGCGUCACGGAACCUGAGUGGACAACUGAAGGGAAGUGUCUGAAGGCUCGUUCACUGACGUUCUGUUCUGGGCUUCUUGUCCUGAACGUCUUCGAAAGGCCUCAGAACGAGGAUUCGUGAGCCGACUCCUUCUUUCUCCCGUCAUCUCUCCCUUCACGACUCCUUCCACUGGAUUCUCCUCUUCUCCUUCAAUAUGCAAUUACAUGAUGAUCACAUACGAACCCACCACCAUCACACUGUCCAACGUGGCUCAUUCUCGAACCUCUCGAUCGCCUCAUCCUCGGUGACAGGAGUCAUUGUUUCUCAUGUGCUGACACGUUCCACCGUCCGAGUCCUGGAGAAGAAUCUGAUUAUUUCUCUGUGGAACAAUCCACACCUCCAGUGAACUCAAUGAUAUUGACAACGUACUAACGUCCACUAGCAUUCUGCCAAUUUCACCCGUUGGACUGAAACAGGAAGAGACGAGUACAGCUUCACUGACGGAGUUCGGACUUCUGACUCCUAACUCUCCGCCUUCAUCUGGUCGCGAGUGGAGAGCCAGACGGCAAAGCUUAAUCUGGGACAUUUAGAGAAACCUGAUCAACGGACUCCACAGCAGAACCACAUGACCUAGACCCGUGUGUGGACGGGACUGUCCCACCACAAGGGUCCAGUCUCCAUCCAACCAGCCCGACGCCGACACCGGGACACGACGAGCUGAGAGGUUUUCAUUUCAACAAGCCUUAUAGUUGUGUGUCAUAUCACAUUGUUCAUUUUCAGUUGAAUGUAUUCCAGUCUAACAGGGAGCAACGUGAUUGGUUCUACACUCUUCUAACUCUUCGUUCUUUUUAAUGGCGCAUCAUCGACACCUUCCGCUCCGCCGUUUCCCCUUCGUCCUCCGACAGUGGCAGAUAUUAAAAUGCAAAAGAACAGCGGUCGAUGUAGGGACUUUUUAUUGUAGCGCUGAUGUCCUGAUAUCUGUCGUCUGAUGUUAGUGCACAACGACAACUAACCCGAACCGUAACACGAUUAAGUGCUGCAUUUAAAAGCUUUAAAAGUCUCAAAUCAAAGAGAAUAUGAUGUAACAACGUCGCCCGCCAUCUUCUGAAUUCCAGGAGACGUGACAACACGCACGGACCAACGACCAGCUCCUUCUCAUCUGGUUGCUGUUUCCGUGUUCUCGGUCGCAGACGGACUCGGUGCAGGUGGAUGUGUCUCCGUGACGACUGGAAGCUGCACUGAUUGGACAGGGUUAAAUAGCCCUCCAGAACCCGGCGCCCUGGGACCCCUCCGUCCUGGGACCUGGGACCCCGCCUUCCUGGGAUCCCUUCGUCCUGGGACCCCUCCUUCCUGGGACCCCUCCGUCCUGGGACCUGGGACCCCGCCUUCCUGGGAUCCCUUCGUCCUGGGACCCCUCCUUCCUGGGACCCCUUCGUCCUGGGACCCCUCCGUCCUGGGACCUGGGACCCCUCCUUCCUGGGACCCAUCCGUCCUGGGCCCCCUUCGUCCUGGGACCUGGGACCCCUCCUGCCUGGGACCCAUCCGUCCUGGGCCCCCUUCGUCCUGGGACCCCCUUCGUCCUGGGACCCCUUCGUCCUGGGACCCCUCCGUCCUGGGACCCCCUUCGUCCUGGGACCCAUCCGUCCUGGGACCCCCUUCGUCCUGGGACCCCCUUCGUCCUGGGACCCCCUUCGUCCUGGGCUGAGGUGGUGGUCCGGGUCUUGGACGGAGCAUGUAGAGUUUAGAACGUUUCCGUUGAACAUUGUGGACACAGUGCCUCACACAGGAGUGGUCACCUGUAGGUGGAGUUCCCUGGAACAAGGAAGUUAUGAAAGAUAUCAUGACCCAUUAAAUCAUCAAUGCCUCCCGUCAGUUAUCCCGGUUCUUACGGAUGAUUGAUUAAUUUUCUUGAGAAGGGAGCAGAUUUCUGACAUGCUGCCCAGGUGAGAUAACCUCCAGGCAACUUCAGGAAUUCUAUUAUGCCGUUGCACUUUAUUUUGGAGGGUUGGAUCUUGUUUAUUUAAGUCUGUUUUUUGUUACCUUAGUUAUUAAAUAAUCUUUUUUUCUUUUUUACCUCCAUCCUGCUCUUUCAAACCCGUGGCACUGAGACCUAACUAUACUAUUUAACUGUUAUAAAAAUAUACUUUAUUAAUUUAAAUGGAUCCUACCUAAUGUAAAAUAACAGAUUUACU